rnacentral:rRNA from 1 species
GGACGAACGCUGGCGGCGUGCUUAACACAUGCAAGUCGAACGAUGAAGAAAAGAAUCGAAGCUUCGGCAGAAAUUCAUUUCGGAUUAGUGGCAGACGGGUGAGUAACGCGUGAGCAACCUACCUCUUACAAAGGGAUAGCCUCGGGAAACCGGGAUUAAUACCAUAUAACAUUGCGACGAAGCAUUUCGAUGCAAUCAAAGCUACGGCGGUAAGAGAUGGGCUCGCGUCCCAUUAACCGGAUGGUGAGGUAACGGCUCACCAUAGUGACGAUGGGUAACCGGCCUGAGAGGGUGAACGGUCACACUGGAACUGAGACACGGUCCAGACUCCUACGGGAGGCAGCAGUGGGGAAUAUUGCACAAUGGAGGGAACUCUGAUGCAGCGACGCCGCGUGAGUGAUGAAGGAAUUCGUUUCGUAAAACUCUGUUCUAUGGGAAGAAAAGGACUGUACCAUAGGAGAAAGCUCCGGCUAAAUACGUG